GUACAUUGAUGGUAUUGUUGGUCCAAUUGUCUUUAUUGGAUAUAUCUUAGACAUCCAAUCAGUUACCUACAUGUCAAACAAUAAAAAGUUCAUGUAACCAUUUGAAUAAUUUGUACAAUAACUUAGGUGACUAAAGUCUAAGGACUAAUAACAAAAGAAGGUGCAUCUGAUGCAUCGAUCGAACUUUGAAAUCCAGGAAUUAAUAUUUCUUCGUCAUUUUGAGUAGGUGGAAGUUUUAUUACCCCUUUAUGUACAUGGUAAUAAAGAUUAUCCACUACACAAUUUUGUGUGAAAAAUGCAGCACUAAAUAAUCCAAAUUGUUUUGCAACUU